CUGUGGUGCAUUGUAGUUGCAUUGCAUGUUGUCUGACGCUGCAAUGGAUCUCCUCUGCAACACAG
rnacentral:pre_miRNA from 11 species